rnacentral:lncRNA from 10 species
AGAAUCGCUUGAGCCUGGGAGGUGGAGUUGCAGUGAGCCGAGAUCACGCCACUGCACUCCAGCCUGGGUGAUAGAGCGAAACUGUCUCAAAAUAAAAAAUAAAAAAGAAAGCAAUAGAACUCAGACUUCAAUGAAAGGCUUAUAUCUAAUUAUGAGUCCAGUGCUGCUUCCACUUUGCAGUUGGUAGAGGAGACAGAAUCUUUGAGUAUUUUUUCUAAGACUGAUAGGUUUGACGCUCAGGCAAAGUCUAGAGUAAAAUUAACAUUAAACAUGGAAUGAAAGCAAAGCAAAUGAUUUGAAUCAUGUGAUAACCCAGUGUCCAAACAGUGCUCAAUACACUCUGCCAUUUUUGAAUGAUAGUAAACUAAUCCGAUUGCAUUGCCUCAUUUGAGAAAACUAAAGCUAAGUUUAAAAAAACAAAAAAGUGAGCCAAGACCACAUCUGGCAAGAUCACAUUUAUAUGCAAUGGCCAGAAUAGGCAAUAGGCAAAUCCAUACAGACAAUGCAGAUUAGUACAGUUUCCUGAUACUGGGGGAGGGGAGGGGAAGAUUGGUGCACAUCUCUGUGAAUGUACUAAAAAACCACUGAAUUCUACAGUUUAUAUAAGUGAAUUAUAUGGUAUGCGAAUAUGUCUCCAUAAAGCUGGUACCAAAAGAAAGUGAACUAAUAGUUACAGUUUGAAAGGUUUCACAUAUAAAUUUGGAUGCCUUGCUAUUUGGGGAAAAUAAAUGUGAGCUCUGGCAA